GACAGAGGGGGCAAGCGUUGCUCGGAAUUACUGGGCGUAAAGGGCGCGUAGGCGGGAUGGCAAGUCGGUCGUGAAAUCCCUCGGCUCAACCGAGGAACGUCGAUCGAUACUGCUGUUCUUGAGGAUUGCAGAGGAGACUGGAAUUCCCGGUGUAGCGGUGAAAUGCGCAGAUAUCAGGAGGAACACCGGUGGCGAAGGCGGGUCUCUGGGCAGUAACUGACGCUGAGGAGCGAAAGCGUGGGGAGCGAACAGG
rnacentral:rRNA from 1 species